UACGUAGGUGACAAGCGUUGUCCGGAUUUACUGGGCGUAAAGAGCGCGCAGGCGGUUCGAUCAAGUCGAGUGUGAAAGCCCCCGGCUCAACUGGGGAGGGGUCAUUCGAUACUGAUCGACUCGAAGGCAGGAGAGGGUAGUGGAAUUCCCGGUGUAGUGGUGAAAUGCGUAGAUAUCGGGAGGAACACCAGUGGCGAAGGCGGGUUGGCCUGGGCCGACGACGUGACGCUGAGGCGCGAAAGCCAGGGGAGCGAACGGG
rnacentral:rRNA from 1 species